GAUUUCUGGCUUGAUACAUUUGGCCGGCCACGGUUUCGUGUGUUAGUGCUUCAUGUUCUGGCCAUCCUUCCAAUUGCUGUUCACUUUUCUUCAUUGAUUAGUGCGUAGUAUUGGAUCUUUUACUUUGAAAAAAUUAGAGUGUUUCAAGCAGGCUAUUGCUAUGAAUACAUUAGCAUGGAAUAAUAAUUUAGGACUUCGGUUCUAUUUUGUUGGUUUCUAGGACUGAAGUAAUGAUUGAUAGGGAUAGUUGGGGGUGCUAGUAUUCAGCGGCCAGAGGUGAAAUUCUUGGAUUCGCUGAAGACUAACUUAUGCGAAAGCAUU
rnacentral:rRNA from 1 species